rnacentral:lncRNA from 1 species
ACGAAUUAGCGACGAAAUUUUCGUCGGAAAGCAACUUCCAGUAAAAAACAGUACUAUAGACAGAAAAGUGGAGCACGUGGCAGCUUGUGAAUGGCUGACUUUACCUAGGAAUAAUUUCGUAGGAAAGCGGCGGCCCCCACAUGCCGAAAAAGGGUGUGUGGAAGCAUGUGAUUGACCUAAUUUACCUAGGAAUAAUUUCGUAGGAAAGCGGCGGCCCCCACAUGCAGAAAAAGGGUGUGUGGAAGCAUGUGAUUGGCCUACAUUACCGAGGAAUAAUUUCGUAGGAAAGCUGCGGCCCCACAUGCACACAGCCGUUGGAUAAAGGGUGUGUGUAUGGUUGUGAUUGGUGGAAUUUACCUACGAAAAUUUCGUCGGAAAACACGGGACCCACAUGCUAACUAGCCGUUUGUUACCGUUGCAGCAUUUGUGUAUAUAAAUAUACAACACUCUAUUUUCUUCUUUACAAUCUUCAUUCUAUUCUCAUUCAA